rnacentral:rRNA from 1 species
UACGUAGGGCGCAAGCGUUGUCCGGAAUUAUUGGGCGUAAAGAGCUCGUAGGCGGUUUGUUGCGUCGGCUGUGAAAUCCCGAGGCUCAACCUCGGGUCUGCAGUCGAUACGAGCAAACUAGAGUGUUGCAGGGGAGACUGGAAUUCCUGGUGUAGCGGUGAAAUGCGCAGAUAUCAGGAGGAACACCGGUGGCGAAGGCGGAUCUCUGGGCCAUUACUGACGCUGAGGUGCGAAAGCGUGGGGAGCAAACAGG